rnacentral:snRNA from 1 species
GACUUGGCACUUCAUGCCAG